UCUACGGGUGGCAGCAGUGGGGGAUAUUGGACAAUGGGGGAAACCCUGAUCCAGCGACGCCGCGUGAGUGAAGAAGUAUUUCGGUAUGUAAAGCUCUGUCAGCAGGGAAGAAAGAAAUGACGGUACCUGCCCAAGAAGCCCCGGCUAACUACGUGCCAGCAGCCGCGGUAAUACGUAGGGGGCAAGCGUUAUCCGGAAUUACUGGGUGUAAAGGGAGCGUAGACGGUGAUGCAAGUCUGGAGUGAAAGGCGGGGGCCCAACCCCCGGACUGCUCUGGAAACUGUGUAACGUGAGUGCAGGAGAGGUAAGCGGAAUUCGUAGUGUAGCGGUGAAAUGCGUAGAUAUUAGGAGGAACACCAGUGGCGAAGGCGGCUUACUGGACUGUAACUGACGUUGAGGCUCGAAAGCGUGGGGAGCAAACAGGAUUAGAUACCCCUGUAGUC
rnacentral:rRNA from 1 species